GAAACUAUAGAAGCAUCGAGAAGAAAUCCAUCCCCGUGCAAAAACAGAUAAGGGACGGCACGCGACGCAACUAUCCUCUAGAGAGAGAGAGGAAGCCCGUCGUUCUGGAAGUUUCCACGCUCCGCGCCUCCGCCCCCUGGUCUCCGCUCCAAUGGCGCCCUCACUCCUCGCCGCCAUGUCCACCUCGCCCUUCCUAGCCAGCAGCGGCAGCAGCCGCAGGCCGCUAGGCGCUGCCCACACCCGACGGGCUGGACUGCGCGUGGCCGCGCUUAAGUACGACCCUGCCAAGGUGGCGCCGCAGAACGACCGGGUUCUCGUCCGUCUUGAGCAGAUCCCUGAGAAAUCUGCUGGCGGUGUAUUGCUACCAAAAUCUGCUGUUAAGUUUGAGAGAUAUCUGAUGGGUGAGAUUCUAUCGAUCGGUGCUGAAGUCAGUGAAGUUGAGGCUGGGAAGAAGGUUCUCUUCUCAGACAUCAAUGCUUAUGAGGUGGAGCUUGGUACUGAUGAAGAGAAGCACUGCUUCUGCCGUGAGUCAGACUUGUUAGCUGUAGUUGAAUGAAUUUUACCAUGAAAAUUUCGGACUUACCUGGGAAUGCUCCAACGGCAUGAACUUAUCUUGCCCCCACUUUGUUGUAUGCCAUUUGAACAGGCUCUUGCUCACGUUUGGAAUACGAAACUGUGCUGAACCGAACUUGAAAUGUUUACAUUGCCCAUCUGAUGUUUCUGCUUCUGAACAUUCUUUAGGCAACAUCCUAAUUAUUUCUAUCAGGGUCUCCAGAUUUUGUUGUGCUGACCAUAGUCUCAUUCGAUUGGUUUGAAAUGUAUGUGUGUUCUUUUUAA